AUAGGGAUAGCUCUGUGGUAGAGCACAUGCUUAGCAUGCAUCAGGUCCUGGGUUCAAUCCCCAGUACCUCCA
rnacentral:tRNA from 1 species